rnacentral:lncRNA from 1 species
UUUUAUUUCCCAAAACAAAACAUUUGCAGCCUAAAAUUUUAAAACAAAAGGUGCAGCCCCUCUUCUCUGCUAGGGUUUCUUUCAACCCGCCCUUCACGCCGCGUUCUCAGGUGAUUCGGCCGAUCCGAAUCCCGGCACCAAAUUUGGCUCCGAUUCAGGCGAAGCAGACAUGGGUCUCAACGGCGAAACCCCGAAGGUAAUAUUUUUAUUUUUUUAUUCAAUAUAAAAAUAGAAAAUAAAUAAAACACCGAAAAUAAAAAAAACAGAGAUGCAAUUCACCUCUUUUGAUUCUAUUUCUCUGUUUUCAAUCUCCCAAUUUACAGUAUUCUCCCCAUUUUCAGUAUACAAAUUUGGCUUUAUAUAGCCCGAUAAAAUGCUUUAUUUUUACAAUAUUUUCUUCUUGGACUCUUAGUCUGUGUUUGCAGGUAUCAUGGGGAGUGGUUGGUUCCGAAACGUGCGCCGAUUGGCGUCUUGCUGGCGAUGCUGGAGACUGUUGGGGGGCUGAAUGCUGCGGCGCCAAACCUGCUGCUACCUGCUUAGGGUUUCGGUGUUUUGGGGGUUUGGGUUAGUUGUUUGGGUAAUUGGGCUUAGGUUAAUAAUUGGGCUUUGUAAAAACUGGGCCGUUUAUUUUGUUUUUUUGUUUUAGUUCUGCAUGCGGGCCCAGGUAAAUUGGGCUUAUUACAUACAAUAAUUAGUUAUUUUAAAAUAUAUUAUGGUAGUUCUACCAAAAAAUAUAUAUUAUGGUAGUUAUAUUAAAAAUGGUAUGAUAAUAAUAGUAUAAUUUAGAUUUAUUAGUUAUAUGAAAUAUGUACUGUAGUUCCAUUAAAAAAGUUGUGUAAUUUUAUUUUUUUGAUUUAAAAUAGACUUAUAAUUUGAGAAGAAGUUUAAGCAUAAAAU